AUCCAGCUGACCAGUCCUAAAUAGGACGAAACGCGCGUCAAACUGGAU
rnacentral:hammerhead_ribozyme from 1 species